ensembl:scaRNA SCARNA2 small Cajal body-specific RNA 2
UUUCACCGGAGGGAGCGCGGCGUGGGGUGAGGCUGGUUAGAAGUGUGGCGAGGUGUGUGGAAGGCGCCUGCGGGCUGAGUGUGUGAGUGGACGCGCGAAUGUGUGAGUGCACGCGCGAAUGUGUGAGUGCGUGCGCCCGCCCCCGUGCCCCUCCCCCGGCCUACACCUUGAUCUUAUUUGAUCGGGUUGUGACUCCAGCCCCGCCGGACCAACCCGAAAUGAAAAGCUCCCCUCCUGCGAAGCCCCUUUCUCGGGGCGCUGUGCAGCGAGGCCCCUUGGGCGGUGGCAACGCCGCGGUCCCGGAGGUCCCGGAGCUGGUCCUACGGGGCCCGGCGCUCAGAAGUGAUGAAUUGAUCAGAUAGACGAGGCUGGGCUUGUCCCGGGCCACUGAUUAUCGAGGCGAUUCUGAUCUGA